GAAUCAGCUUAUUGAAACAAAAAGGGCAUUAGAAGGAAAAGUUGUGGAACUUUCCAAGAUGUGAGUGGGUAAUGAAGCCGUGGGUAGCUCAACCACCGAACUGAACCAAGUUGAGAUUUCACCCGAGAGAAAUUUGGUCCACUGAGAUCAAAAUAAAGGACGAGACAAAACUCUGCGGCAAACAGAAGAAAAGACAGGAAUCAGAGCGAAAGACCAAUCAGCUAUUUCUCCAGUUUUAUAGGCACCAAUUGUGAGGGCCUCUGAAACGAAUCAAGGAGAGGUUUUUAGAACAAAAAGAGGAAGUCUCCAUGUCAGACUAUGUAACGGUGUUCCAGGAGCGACUCAUGGAAGCCUGUGAUGCGGCCCAAAGAUGCUUAAAAAUCUUCCAGACAGCUAUGAAGAAACAGGCAGACAAAUAUGUCAGGACCCAGAUCUUUCAGCCAGGAGACUACGUGUUAGUGCUCCUACCAAUACCAGGAAUACAAUGGGAAAAAUGAGUUUAAAAGCUAUCUGCAGAGCAGUGCAAGUGUGCAGAUGUGCUCUGAGAGUGACAGCACAAGAAAACUAACUAGUCAUCCCUGCAGUUGCAGGUUAGGACGUUUGCAACUGAAUUCAUAACAGGGAAAGAAAACUUCCUAACUAAGGUCUCAAUAUAAAACUUCAGAAGAAUUAAUAUGUAGAUGCAUUCCCACCACAAGUCGUCAUCAUGGAUGGAGAUUCAGAAAAGCACACAAAAGCAGUUACAGCAACACUCAUGAUGGAGUUGCAUUCUAAUGCAAGUGUAGUGUUGCAGCUCCCUGGAAGCUGCCAAUCCUGUUGAAAAAUUCUGGAUAUUUUGAUGUUAGACCAUGACUGAAGUGAUAGGAGUAACUUCUGAGGUUGAUCUGUCUUGUGGUAUUGGACUGAUUCCAUGGAAUGUUACCAAUGUGAAAUCUCAACAUGCCAGUAGAUCUGCAAUUGCUGGGCCUUUAGUUUCCACGAUGUAGAAUAUUUGUGACACACAGAAGAAAAAUAUUGUUUUUUGUGUUAGCCAGCAAGCAGAAUGCUUGAAGAGAUGGGACUUGUGGAGAUUUAAUGGACAAGGAAUCGUUGGAGUGGGCCUUGCUGCUGGAAGUUGGCUCAGGAUAUCAAAAGACUGAGUGGAAUGGCUUUCAAAAGGCUCACCUUGGCACGCAGGGGGAAGGGAGCCUGCUGAAAAGUUGGGACGUAAUGUUCCAGGAUACAUAUCAGCUGGGAGCAUGGUAUAAAAUAAAAAUGUGUAGUAAAGUAUUUUGGUUAUGUUAGUUAGCUAAUAGGGGAAUACCUUUACAUUAGUUUGGUUUAUUAAUUGCUUAUUAAGUAAUGUUUAAUCUAUGUUGUCUUUAGUCUGUUUGUUAUAGUAAAAGUCUUAAAAUGUGAAAUCCUGUCCUGCAAUUCUUUCUGUUGAUAUCUGGGAAAUUCAUCCCUUUUUUAAAAAGUUAUUGGUUUCAACGGGGAUUGUAAUAAUUAUAAGAAAAAAAAGUCUAGCUACAAUUAUAUAGGGCCUUAGUAGAACCACACCUGAAGUACUGUGGAUAGGUUUGGUCUCCUUUUCAAUAGGAAGAUAUAUUUGCUCUAGAGGGAAUGCAACAAAGGUUCACUUCACUGAUUCCUGGAAUUAGAGGAUUGGCCUAUUAAAAUAGAUUAAGUAGAUUAGGACUUCUUUCCUACCAUUUAGCAGAAUGAGAGGGAUCUCAUUGGAACAUAUAAAAUUCUUAAAGGGCUAGGUAUCUAGAACUAUUGGGCACAAUCUCAGAAUAAGGAUUGGCCAUUUAGGAAUGAGAUACCAUGUUUCUUCAUUCAGAGUGUUGUGAAUCUUUGGAAUUCCCAGAGUUGUGGAUGCUCAGUCAUUGAAUAGAUACAACACAGAGAUCAACAUGUUUGGGUACUAAGGAAGUUAAGGGAUUUGGGGAUAAUGCCAGAAGAUGGAGUUGAGAUAGAAGAUCAAUUAUGAUCUUCCUGAAUGGCAAGACAGGCUUGAAUUGUUGAAUGGCCUAUUCCUGCUCUUAUUUCUAUGUUCUUAUGUUAUUAUGUCUACCUAUGCAUUCAAUCAUGUAAAAGCUUACCAUUUUUUGGAAAACAAAAGUGUACAUUGACUUUCUGUUCAGGAAGAAAUGGUUCUAACACUUGACAACUGCGCUUACUUGUAAUGAAGUGAAGAGGCCUAUCAGGGUGUAUCAUGGGAUUAUUAAGUCUUGACCAAGUUGUGAAUAUGAGUUUUAAAAAUGUUUGCAGUAAAAAGAAACGAGAAUGAAUAUGAUCUUCUGCCCAGGCCAGGAAGUUGAUGAAUAGUUUAUAAGUUAGGCUGUAAUAAAUAGAUAGCUUGAUUUCAGGGUUACAAUAGGCAUUGCAAUGACUCAUCAGGAGAGAUAAGCAAAGUACAUUUUUUGGAACAUCGUUUGUGUUAAUGAUUGCUUUACAACUUCCUCCAGGACUGCGGAGGUUCAUAACAGGUCGUUCUGUGUUUAUGUUUUAAACUCAUUUGUAAUUAAUGAUGUAAUAAUUAGACAUAUAAGGUAAGAACAUUGUGAGUUAAUGAGUUAUCCCAAAAAUGGUAUAUAUAGCCAACAGAAACUGUGUAACUUUGAAUUGCCUUUUAGAGCAUUCUGAAAAAGCAUUUCCCAUAAGUGGACACUUGUACUAAAUAAAGAACUACUACUGAAUCUACCUA